rnacentral:lncRNA from 1 species
GCCAAAGCCAGCUACAGAUUGGCACCGAGUUGCACUUGUUGUCACGCUCCCUCCCCAUGGAUCACAUUUGCUCCAAGAUGUUCUGGGUAUUUCCCGUCUCAGUUUCUGCUUUCCACUGUGGGUUGCCUCCCCCUGGAAUGAGUUGUUAACACUCCAGUCUCUACGGACGCCGCAAACAAAGCAGGGACAUUUUGCUUGGCUCCAGCAAGAGGCAAAUCUGACCCAAAGCUAGACUGGGAGCUGAAGACCUUACUUUGUUGUAAAACCAGCUUUUCAAGUUUGGAUUCAGAUCUUCAGCCUACAGGCAGACUUGUCCCAGCUGCAAUGUCAUCCUGGCACCUGGUGCAACACAUUGCUACUCAUCCAGAACAGCCAAAACAGUCAGACAGGAGGAAAAAGGCAACGGUGGAUCUUGGGAUUUGAAGGCUUGGAUUCAUUUAAAAGAGACAUAAAUAAAAUAUUGCAGCCAUAACCA